CUGCUCCCUCUCUCCCCUUUUAAGCCACUUAGGCACUUCGCCAAACCCUAGACCACCUCCCAUCCCGGCGCCGCCAUCCGCUCCAACCUCCAUGUCUAUUUCCUUCACGAACAAGGAGAGCCCAAAGCGUCCGCCUCCCAGACCACCAUGGAGCCGCCCCUACCAGCCGCCCCUCGACGAGCCGAAGCCACAUAAAGAUGCGCCUUGAUGUCCUUGUUCUCCACACCAUAGGAAUCGAGCUCGGACGCUCCCAGUCGCCGCUAAUCUCGUCGUUUCUUCUUCGUCUCCGGCGGCGACAUUUGACGAUUCCGGCUGGCCUAGUCCUUCCCCGGCCUCCUCGUCUGCGCCAGGAGCUUCAGGGAGCUCGACGCCGGUGAUGCUCUGGUGACCCCCUGGACCCCUCAUGGUCACCAUCUGUUUCCCCACGUUGAGGCGCAUCUCCGACGCCAACUACCCCAUCCUGGUUCACCCUGAAUCGCGGGAUUGACUAUCGAGAUGGUGCUUCCCCGCCAUGAAUGUUCUGGUCCAGAUCUCCGCCAGGACAUACCUCAAAAUGCAGCGCAUCUGCAUGUUGUCACAUACGAGCAGCAGCUCAGCUUGUUCGUUCCUUUGUUUCAGAUAGGGUGUCUCAGGUUCAAAUGUCAUCGGAGGCAGAGUUUUUCUCAACCCUUUUCUUUCUCUGGUUUUUCUCAGAUCCGGCGCCUGAUGGGCCUUGGCUUUGAUCCUCCCGAAAGCCCGUUGCUCCGCGUGUUCAGUAGCCUCUCGUCACCAAUGCAGGCCUAGAUCGGGCCUAGACAGCGCAAAUAUUUAAAACUUGCAAAAAUCAUAUCUUAUGUUUCGUAACUCAGAAUAAAAAGUAUUUUAUAUGAAUUUCGAUCAGAAAUAUGUGAAGAACAUGAAUAUACCAUCCAAAUGCUUGUUUGCAUUUCGCUCAUGUCGUUUCAUGAUAGUUUUGCAUAAUCACCUAACAUAUACGCGGAGUAUUUCGGAACACCGACUAGGUUUCCCCACUCCGUUUAAUAUUGAAGUAGCUCACCCUUGCCAUGUUGUGCCAUGCUAAUCAACACUUAACUUUGUCGGUAGGAAAUGCAACUUCAACUCUAAUUGUUUGUCCGGGUUCUGAUCCCGCUUAAUUUGGAUAAGCUGCAUUGCACCAUCGCUGCCAUGUCAUGCAUAUCAUCUUGCUCAUGCUGAUUCUUCUUUAUCCGUAGUAGUAAUAUUUUGCAUCUGAUGUUUGUUGUAGCAUUUGCUUCUUCCCGGAUAGGAUCGCGAAGUGGUGCGGUGAGAUACGACGAGUUCUUCGACAAGUGCUUCUGUGGCUUUUCACAGGCGAGCCCUCCCUCUUCACCUAUUUUAUACUUUGCUCUCCCUCUCACUGCUAUCCUUAUGUUGCGCUUCUUCAUCGAGUCACGUGUCCUAUUCCACUUAUUUACCAUAAUAAUCCUAUAUGUAUCAUUCCUUACCCAUAGUCGUUGCUUGAUGUUUGAGUCUUGCGAGUCGUAGGCGUGUUUAGGCUCUGUUGUUUAUCUCGGUCUGUUAUCGAGAUAUGUUGGGUUGUUGGGAGGAUAUCACAUGCUAUAUUAGUUUGUUGGAGAUACACAGCUUUACUUAAUUGUUAACAACUAAAAUUGUAAGAAGAGGCAUCUGUGAGCCCCUUUGCGAAAGCAUCGGAACUUUGACUCGCUAAUGUCCCCUAGGACCCGAGUUCUUGUUAUCUGUUCCGAGACUGAGCGCUCUAUCCACACGUGGGUAUGCUUACCGGAUCUCCCCUCGACCACUGCCGGAAUCUACACCUUUGUCCAGUGGCCACAAUUAGUUUGAAUGUUUGUUUGUUUCUCCCGGGCGUGCAAGCAUGUUUCUUUGUAGUCAGAUGAUAUGAUGUUACUUUUGGGGAAGCCAUGAGUGCCUUGUAACCCCGUUGUCUCUUGCACGCUCGUAGGUGCGGUCCGCAUUGGUAAGAGGUCAUCCUCUAGUGGGCUCUGAUCCUCUUAGCCGUUCUCGCAACAGCUAGGUCCGCUUCGGAGUUUCGAUUGGGCACCGAAACGGGUUAACUUAGUUAGGUGGCUUUCUGGAAAUUGCUGUUGUGAAGGAAAGUGUGAGUCGUGAUAUCCACCUGUCGCAAGUGGGUUGAGCGUGCAUGUGGGCACAUUUGGGCACCCCUGCAGGGUUACAAUCUUAUCGAUAAGUCGUGUCCACGGUUAUGGAAUACUUGGAAUUGUAUGACUUGAUUAUAGAACAACUUACACCUUAUACUUGUUGUUAAUAAUUUGAUAAUAACUUACGUAGUAAUAUAGCAUUACUACAUCUGACACCUAAUAAAACCGGUCCACCGUUGAGUGUCUUUUACAUUGCCUCUUUGCUUUGUUGAAGGGGAUAUGUGUAAUUGGUUGGGUUAUGUUUGCGUAGUAUUUUAUCUGUUAUCUUGUGCGCUCUCUAAUCUUCUCUGAUUGGUUGGGUUAUAGUUUUGCUGCCGCUAAACCUACCAUAUAGCCCCAGGUGAUAUAUUCGCCCGGCGAGCAUAGCCAUUUCUAGUCUGGCUAAGUACGUGCCGGAGUUCGUUCCUUUGUACUUACUCUCGCCUUUUCUCUUUUGCUUCCUCCCUUUUGUCGGCAACCGAUGGCCCGACUUCGACAGGUACAAGAUGAUGACGUUCGCAAGGUUACCCUUCCGGCUUGGCCUGGGCAGGGUUAUGGACGCCACUGGUUAUCUUCAGGACUCUUAGUCCAAUUUGUAUCUUGUCCGUACUCAGACGUAUUCGAUCUUCUGUAUGAAUUGGAUCUUUGUAUUGUAUAUUUGUAUCUUGACUCGUUGGAGUCGUUGUUGUAAUAUAUAUGUUUCUUGUGGGCUCUA